rnacentral:lncRNA from 1 species
GGCCAGCACCUGCAGCUCUGAUUCUGAUUCGACGCCUAGCCUGAGAACUUCCAUAUGCCACAGGUGUGGCCCUAAAAAGCAAAAAAAAAAAAAAAAAAAAAAAAGGUUCUACAUCUAAUAUGCUCAUAUAUACAUAUAAAAUCUCUUUCUAGAGAGAGAUUUAAUAUGCUUGUUCAUAUAUAUAUAUCCACACACACAUUUUAUAUUUAUACAGUUUACCUAACAAAAACGCCUAUGCACACCUAUGUUCAUACACCUUUGUGAGAAAUCUCUUUACCACCAGAUUAAGAGCUCAAGAUAUUUUUCUUGGAAAGUUGACAGAAGCUUAAGAAAAAUCAUAUAUAUGAAAUAUGUAUCUAUAAAUAAAUCAAUAUAUAUUUUUAAUGGUUUUCCUCAGCUUAUUUACUCUGAGGACAAAAACGGGUCAAUAUAGGACAUUUUUUACUUUUAUUACUUCGCAUGUCUGCUCCCCUCUGCAUUUUCAUGGUGCCCAAUUAGAAACACAAAAGGAAAUAAAGGAAAAUGGUUUUAGCCCCCAUAUUCCUCAGCUUAUACACCUUUUCGAUGUUAAAUUCCCAGAGGAAUGAGGCUCAUUCAUCUUCCCAAGGAUAUAAUAGCUAUUUUCUCUGGAGCUGCUGGGGAUAAUUUUAUAGAACAUCAUAAUGUGAAAAAUAUUUUUAAUGUAUUCAAAAUAUGGCACAGGAAGAAGUACAGCCAUAUGUACAAUUCACGAAAAUAAAUCACGUCAUUUCUGGCUGUUAAUUAAGUCUGUUUAAAAGCCUUUCUCUCUCACUUAAUGCAUCUUGGAGAAGAAAAAGAAAAAGAAACUCGUUGACCAAAAUGUGUUAAUAUGCAGCUAAUUUAAAAGACGAAAAAUUUUAGAAACACUAUAUAUCUAAAAUUAAUUACUGACAGGGAUAGGAUCUUUCUUCAGUUUGACAAAAAUGGCCAAUUAUAAUUCUGUACUUUAAAUGCUAUUUCUUUGAAAUAGAGAGACUACAAAAUUCAUCCAAAGCUGCCUGAUUAUUUCUCAGGAGUAAAUUUACCUUGGAAAAUAUGUCUUCCCUUUGGUAGCAUACCAGUGGAUUAAAUCCCCUAUAAAGCGGACUGCGGUGGGUAAGAGGGAAAAAGUUAAUGCUUCCAUUUGCUUAAUUUUUUGGAACAUAUUGGAGGUCUUGAUGAAGGCAUGUGCUUUAGAAAACCCAGAAACCAUAACUCAACGUGAUUUUUGUUUAGUCGUGUCAACUACGAAGGAAAAGUGUUUGGAGCUUUUAACGUCGCAGGACAGAAAUGUGUCCCCAAAAUGUAUGAAAACAGGUGUCCCUCGACAUUUUUAUUAGGGCAAAAGUUAAGGCUUCUGAGACAUUGGCAGCUUAUCAAGCAUCCUAAGGAAACAUUUGGUUUCUCUCUUCAACUAGCCACCCAGUGCUGCCCUGAUGGGGAAUCUGGAGGCAGCCGAAAGCCUGUCUCUACUCUGUUCCGUGAGUCAGGAGGGCAGAGAGAAGGAACGGCUCACCGUACCUAGACACCCCGGCUCAGGAAACCAAUCUAAGUUCCUUCAGCCCAGCUGACCUGGCUGGACAUCUGAGCUGCAAGGACCCCAACGCGUAAAAUGCUCUUACCAACCUGGAUACUGAGCCAGAGGAAAGGACACAGGGCCUUUUUUUUUUUCCCCCACUUUGCACAAUUUUAGAGUUCUGCACAACUUAAUACUUUAGUUUGCAAAAGAGAAAGUUCGAGAAUCAUCCAAGCUAAGGAAGGACAAAAGGAGAUGGUUUCCUUUCAGAUGACAGUGUCUGAAGAUCAGGCUUCCUAUACUUAUGGUGAAACAUUGCUCUAAGUGGUUUAACAUCUUCAUGAAUUUAUUCCUGAAACCAUCGGACAGAUGAAGACAUGGAGGCAACAGCGAGAGGUCAGUAGUCGACCCAGAGACACAGCCCAGCGGCACAGACAGGACCGGAACCCAGCUUCCGGCCAUGGGGACGUUUCCCACAAGUCCAUCCCAUUCUCCUCCAAUGGUCAAGUGACCUCACUGACGAGUUUUCCAACGGUCGCUUCAGUGAGUAGGUCUGGCAUUAUCCAGGCCCAACUUUAAACCAGCGCUAGUUUCACGGGCCAUUUCCUAAGACAGUCAUUGGGUAUCAGGGCAUUACCUAGGCUUUCUCUAAACUUCUUUCUCUAUACACUCAGCAAGAGUUAAAGUUCGAUCCUCUGCUGCAUCUGGGCUGGUUCUGCAAUAAGACAAGUGUGACAUCUGCUCUGAGCUCUGGGCUCACAUUCCAACGGCGAGAAUGGGAGGCAGCAGUGAAAGCGGGGUGACUUUCAAAAGCGGACGCGAGAGCUGCUCUGAUGCCAAGUGGCAGGUGUGUGGGAGGGGAGGGCUAAGGAUGCAGGAAAGGCCAGCAAGAGCGACGGGCGACCAUGCCGAGCUUUUAGGGUGGGAAGGCUUUAGCCGACCGUGGAGAGAGUGGGCGGCUUCCCACUUAAAGGAAACCAGUGUGGCUGAGUGAACAGAGUGAGAAGGGACCCGGGAUGAGGCUGGUGAGGAAGCAGAGCUGGGUUAUGCAGGGUCCCACAGCCAAGCUGAGGACUGGGGACUUCACUGGGUGGGCAAUGGGGAGCCAUUCAAGGCUUAAGAUUUGGGAGGGUCAUGCUCCAAUUACGUGUUUUAAAAGACGUCUCUGGGAGCUCCCGCUGUGGCAUAACGGGAUUGGCGGUGUCUUGAGAGUGCUGGGAUGCAGGUUCGAUCCCCGGCCCCGCACAGUGAGUUGGGGAUCCAGUCCUGAAGGGUUCUCAGUGUGCUGAGGGAACAGCAGGUGGAAAGGACGCAGAAUGGGGGAGGGGCAAAAGGCUCUCAUGGGACCCGCCUUGUUCCAGCAUCAGCAUUUCAGCAUGUGCCUUUCCAGAUGCUGAGGCCUCAAAACACGAAGCCCAUCGUAUUUCCAAAACAACUUGCUUCACGUCUGCGAAUCUUCUCAAUAUUAAAUGUUUUCUAUCAUUCAGUGGGAAUCUCUGAAUGUUUAUUUUCCCCUAUUUGUAAGUGAAGGCCUAAUGGAAUAAAAGAAACUUUUCCAUUCUUGUCAUAAUACCAUCAUCGCACACACAAUUAAAAUAGCUUUGCGUUAUUUUAUAUUCCUACAUUCACAUUUAUAUUUAACUUUAUAGAUAAGAGAGCCCCCACUCCUGCUUAUGCCAACUGCACUUUACAACCUGCCUUGCCAGGAAAAUGGGCCUAGAGGGGUGUGGUUGUUUAGUUCCUGGUGCAUAAAGCAACUACAAAGAAUGAAACGCUUCUUCGAUGUUAUUGAAUAAAGCUGCUCAGACGUGGGUGUCACUCGACAUCUAUACCAGCGUCACUGGACAAGCGAGUGAGUGCUAUCUGAAAUAACGCUUAACACAAUGAAAACGCCAUCCCAUCAGCCAUACGGGCAAGACCAUAAAUAUUCAAUGAUGCUCUGAGUGUGCUGAGACAGAGUCACUGAUGCAAAGAUAAGAAUGGCCAAUGUUAACAAGUGCCAGGCACUGAACCAAGAGUCUCACUCAUAUUAACUUAUAUAAUCCUCACAAAAAUAUUAUAAAGAAGGUAAUAUCUCUGUUUCAUCACGGAGAAGUGAGGUCCCAAAGGAAGUAAGCUAUGGACACAGGACUCAAAGCAGACAGCCCGCCUCAAAAGCCUACAUUACCUGAGAAUCAGAGGACUUUUCCUGCUGGAGGGUUACUUCUCUGCUGCCCAGAGACAGAAGGCUAGAGUUCCCUGGUAUAUCUGAAUAGGCACACGUGGAAAUAAUCCCAUUUAAUGGACCCCUACCUUGCCUUUCCUUUGGGACAGUUAGCAUGGUAAAGAAGACUAUCUAACUGGACUGGAACUAAGUCUAUCUACUCUAUUGCCUCUUGGCAGAUAACCUUCUCAUCAUGCAGAAAAAUACCGGGGUAAACAAAUAGAACACAAAGAAAAUAAGAGCAUCAGCAAAGAAGAUGAAGACGUUUGAACAGAGCAUCUUCUGAGAAACGGAUGGCUGUCAGGUAAAAAUCAAUUUCCUGUGGACCAGAGCAAGAGCAAGCAGAGGGGCAAAGGAACAGGUUUAAACCACCGGAGAGGCCAGGAUUUAAAUGCAGAGUCUUCCGCUAAAGGGGAGCCGGUAUUGAAUCGGUUCCAGGAGUGGCGAUAACAAACGUCAUGCUGUGUUUCAGGAGGCACAAGAGAGGAAGCAGGCGUAAGAGGAACGAAUGCGCGAUGGGUGCCGCCUACGCUGGGUUGCCUGGAGCAAAGGAGGGCAGGGCAGGCUGCAUAAAGCUAGAUCUUUGAAGAUUUAAUAGAUUCCUUAUUCUCUCUCAGUUGGUCCUUUUAGAUUUGUCAAGAGUGAGCUCUGUUUUUCCUUCCAUCUCGGUUAUUUAGCUACGGCUUUUAGGUUAAAAAAGAAAAGCAGGUUGAAUUUAAGCUAAUGGACAAUAAAACUUCAGGGUCAGAGGUACUGUUUUCAUUCCGGAGCUAAAUGAGGAUCUGCAACGAAUUAGAAUUUUUAAAAUGGAUGUUUGUAGAAUGACACAAGCUGUAUCACUAGGAAACGUUCUUAGGCGGGAAAUAGUUGAAAUUGUUGACAUUUGCAUGAGAAACGGCAUUGUGUGGACCUGGCAGGAGAGGAAAACAGAGAAGUAGCUCCGUGGUCAAAUUAAAGGUUACUCAUUCAUACAAAAGGCAAAGCCCUGGUUAGAUUGAGAAAAAAGUGCUGCUAAUUAUUUUUCUCUAUAGAUGGAAUGUAAAACCAACUGUAAAAAAUUCAUGAAUGAGGCUCAGAGGCUGGCAUUACAGCAAAUUCAAUGAUUUUUGAAAUGCAUGCCUCUACAAAGAAUGCACUAUUAUUCUGUCUAGACUUUAUGGCACAGUGUAAUAAAUAAAGACUGACAGCAUCGAUAUAUUUCAUAAAUACAUUACUGGAAUUUACAUUAUUUCUGACUAUGAGUAUUUCCUGAGCUACCCUAGGUAAAGCAAUGCGCACAUCUUAUAAAAUAAAAUCUAUCAGUAAGGCCAUUUGUUAGCAGACAAAGAAAUAGUAAUGGCAUUUAUUUCUCUGAUUAUAUUCAUCUUCUUAAGUAAACUUAGGAAAUCUGAACUUGGACCCAUAGAUAAUUCAUUAGCUUCAGUCCAUAGGUUUGUUUUCUUAGAGUCUUCUCAUACAUACAAUAUCCUAGCACAGUUUUUGUAAGACGGCUUCAAGGGAUUUUUUUUUUUUUUCUAAAAAGGUAUAACUCACAUAAAAUAAACCAUGACGGAGAACUUGUAAAGCUAUCAAUUGACAUGGAACUGAACUGACUUCUUUCUGAAAAAACGUCUUGGAGAGAUACACACGGUUCUGUAAUGAGACCACUAACAACAGAUGGAAGUCCACCAACCAGCCUCAGUUUUUUUUUCAGUCUAACAUUUCCUAGAGCUGUGGGGAGAGCGAAGGCAACUAAAAAUAAUUCUGGAGAACAAUUAGUCAUUCUCAGGAAAUCUAUAAAUACCCUGGGAAAGCAACGUGGUCUAAACACUCUGCCCCACAGAAAGUAUGCGCCCUAUGGCAUUGUAUUAUAUCACGAUUUGCAAUUUUAUGGGAUGUAGGAAUGCAUCGCCAUGUUUCUCGACCUUUAUUUUUAGUCAUCGCCAAAACGGGAAGAGUCCCUUCGGCUGACACAUGUGCAGAGAGUGUCUGGAGGCUCCCUCUCCCCACCUCUGUCAUAGCACGGGUAACCCCUUGAGAUGGUGCUUUCAUCACUCUCACUAAAGGAUGAAAGCUCGGGCCUGCCUCAUACCUAUGAAAAGUUCCUUCACGAAUACACAUGCUUAUGAAAACAAACCAAAAAGAGAGCGCUGAGCACAUGGAGUGAGCUCGUUUUUCAAACAGAACUAGUCAAUUUCUCCCAGCACGUUUAGGAUACCAACUGGCACUGAAGCUUGCGGAUGCAGUGAAAUCGUAUACACAGCUGCACACGAGUGUGAGCUGGCUGUGGACCAGAUUAUCGCCUCAGCAGGUGGUGUUUCUCUAGGUUCUUGCAUGCAGAAACUAUCGCUUUAAAAAGGCCAGGAGUUCCUGUCGUGACUCAGUGGUUAACGAAUCCGACUAGGAACCAUGGGGUUGAGGGUUCGAUCCCUGGCCUGGCUCAGUGGGUUGGGGAUCCGGCAUUGCCGUGAGCUGUGGUGUAGGUCGCAGACGCGGCUCAGAUCCCGCUUUGCUGUGGCUCUGGUAUAGGCCUGCGGCUACAGCUCCGAUUCGACCCCUAGCCUGGGAACCUCCAUAUGCUGUGGG